UGCCCAGUGAAACAGCACAGUCAGUUCAGCAUGAGAUUCUUAAUCUCAGGGCUGUGGGUUCAAGUCCCACGUUGGGUAA